UGGGGAAUCUUGGACAAUGGGGGCAACCCUGAUCCAGCCAUGCCGCGUGAGUGAUGAAGGCCUUAGGGUCGUAAAGCUCUUUCGCCUGUGAAGAUAAUGACGGUAGCAGGUAAAGAAACCCCGGCUAACUCCGUGCCAGCAGCCGCGGUAAUACGGAGGGGGUUAGCGUUGUUCGGAAUUACUGGGCGUAAAGCGCACGUAGGCGGACCAGAAAGUUGGGGGUGAAAUCCCGGGGGCUCAACCCCGGAACUGCCUCCAAAACUAUUGGUCUAGAGUUCGAGAGAGGUGAGUGGGAAUUCCAAGUGUAGAGGUGAAAUUCGUAGAUAUUUGGAGGAACACCAGUGGCGAAGGCGGCUCACUGGCUCGAUACUGACGCUGAGGUGCGAAAGUGUGGGGAGCAAACAGGAUUAGAUACCCUGGUAGUCCACACCGUAAAACGAUGAAUGCCAGUCGUCGGGUAGCAUGCUAUUCGGUGACACACCUAACGGAUUAAGCAUUCCGCCUGGGGAGUACGGUCGCAAGAUUAAAACUCAAAGGAAUUG
rnacentral:rRNA from 1 species